GACGAACGCUGGCGGCGUGCUUAACACAUGCAAGUCGAACGGAGCGAAUGAAAGCUUGCUUUUAUGAGCUUAGUGGCAAACGGGUGAGUAACACGUAGACAACCUGCCGACAGGAUGGGGACAACAUUCCGAAAGGAAUGCUAAUACCGAAUGAAGUCAGAGAAGGGCAUCCUUUUCUGAUGAAAGAUGGCCUCUGAACAUGCUAUCACCUGUCGAUGGGUCUGCGUCUGAUUAGCUGGUUGGUGAGGUAACGGCUCACCAAGGCGACGAUCAGUAGCCGGUCUGAGAGGAUGAACGGCCACAUUGGGACUGAGACACGGCCCAGACUCCUACGGGAGGCAGCAGUGGGGAAUCUUCCGCAAUGGGCGCAAGCCUGACGGAGCAACGCCGCGUGAGUGAAGAAGGUCUUCGGAUCGUAAAGCUCUGUUGAUGGGGACGAACGUGCCUAAUGCGAAUAGUAUUAGGUAAUGACG
rnacentral:rRNA from 1 species